ensembl:lncRNA
CCCUCUUUGCCUUCGAAUGGACUGACCCAGACACUGGAACAACUAGACAGCUGACAUGGACCCAGUUGCCACAGAGAUUCAAAACUCCCCCACUCUGUUCGGGAAAGCUCUCAGCAAAGAUCUGCAAGAGGUAAGAAAAGUAUUUCCCCAGGCGACUAUUCUUCAGUAUGUCAAUGACCUCCUGGUGGUGACUUCAACCAAUAAAGAAUACAUUGCAGCCACCUAGGGCCUCCUGAAAGCCCUCCAGGAACUGGGAUAUCGGGUGUCCUGGAAAAAGAAAGCUCAACCCUGCCAGACCAAGGUAACCUACUUGGGCUAUACUCUUAAAAAGGGAAAGAGGAGGCUGGCACAAUUGAGAGUAUCUGCAAUUCUCCAGAUUCUGAAGCCAGGCUCAAAGAAACAGGUGCAAGAGUUCCUAGGGGUGGUUGGCUAUUGCAGGAUUUGGAUUCCUGGCUUUGCUGAGAUUGCCAAGCCCCUGCAUGAGGCCACUGUGGGAGGAAAUACAUCCCUCAAAUGGCCUGAGGCUUGCCAGCAGACAUUUCAAUUGCUUAAGACUGCACUUGCAUCGGCACCAGCCCUGGCAUUGCCAGACUUAAACAAGCCCUUUACCUUGUGUGUGACAGAGAAAAAUGGGGUAACUAAAGGAGUGAUUACUCAGCUUUUGGGCCAUGGAAGCAGCCUGUGGCAUACCGCUCAAAGAAGUUCAACCCAGUGGCCCGAGGGUGGCCCACUUGUUUGAGGACAGUAGCAGCAGCAGCUCCUUUAACCUGAGAGGCUGACAAAUUAACCUUUGGACAGGAUUUGACUUUGAUUACUCCCCAUGCCCUUGAGCCCUUAGGCUCUGUAAUUGGGAAAAGGAAAAAGGAUAAAUAUAUUCACUGAUAGCCGUUAUGGUUUUGCCACUGCCCACGUACAUGGGGAAAUUUAUCAAAAUAGAGGACUGUUGACCUCUAAAGGAAAGGAAAUUAAAAAUAAGACUGAGAUAUUGGCAUUGCUACAAGCCAUCUGGUUGCCCCAAGAGGUUGCCAUCAUCCAUUGCUGUGGGCACCAAAAGGGGUCAAGCCCCGAGGUGAUUGGUAAUAAUGCUGCUGAUCAGGCAGCAAGACAAGCUGCCCAAAAAUCAGUGGGGAAGCAAAUGGUUCUGCUUCCCACACUGGUACUCCCAGAAAAACCUAAAUAUACAGACAAGGAGAUAACAGAAAUGAACAGGAGACGCUGGACUCAAGGAAGACAUGGGUGGUGAAUGACUAAGGAGGGAAAGGUGGUGCUCCCAGCCACUGUAGCAGACACAUUGCUGCAAGAACUACAUGAGUCCAUCCACCUCGGAGAGAAAAGGAUGAUGGCUGCCCUGCAACCUCAUUUUGUCAGCGAGGGAUUAGCCCAAAAGGCCCAGGACAUGGUGAGAUGAUGCCCCACCUGCCUCAAGGUUUGAUUCCAAGACCCUGGAACCUCGUUGGAAGGGACAGGUUCCUGUUGUCCUGUCAACUCCCUUGGCGGUAAAGGUGGCUGGACAUUCUGCUUGGAUACAUCACAACCAUCUAAAAGCAGGACCCCCCAAGGAUGUCAAAAAGGACAAAUGGAAGGUUAUCAGCCAACCAGGUGACCAAAAGCUAAGACUGGAAUGGGUUGGAGAUGUUUCACCUUAAUGAUAAUAUUCUCUGGGACACUGGCAUUAUUGCCCCCAAGAGGACUAGAUCACACAAAAACAUGUAUGGAUUCAAUUGGCAAACUCACUUAACUUGUCUGAAUUCUGCUUAAAUGUUGAUGUAAAUUUCCAUUAUGUGCUGGGAAGCUGUCUCAUUCCGGUAUGCACCUCUUUAAAAUUAAUAUGACCCUAUACCCUAUUCAAGGACAUCCCAGGAAAAAAUCUUACUUACCUGGAUAGUUAUAAUUGGGGGCAUGACACCUGCCGUAAACCUAAAAAUGCUGUCAAAUUAUAUACACCCAAGGUAAUUAUGUCAAACAAAACUGAAUGUGCUAUGUAUGAAAAUUGUACAACCAAAUGUCCGAGGAUAAAACGGUCAAAAGGGAUGUCCUGCCAUAUAAAACAAAAAAUUGUGUGUAACAAUUGCCAUAUCUCCCUGCCCACAGGAUGGUUUUAUACCUGUGAAGGAAUAACCUUUAAUUAUAUUCCAGCAAAUUUAACCAAGACCCAUUGCUGUUUGAGUCGUCUAGCUGUAGUGUUGCCAGACAGAACUGAUUUGAUUGUGCCUAACAGAACUAAACGUUGGUCACCUUACACUGCACCAGGAUGCGAUGAUGACAUAGGUCUAUUAACAGAUGCUGAAGUAAUAACCAUGAUAGCAUCUUUUGUUGCCCUGCCUUCUAUAGGAGUCCAUGCUGAAAAGGCAGUAUGAAAAUUAGCUUUCAAGGUGGUCAAAGGGUUAAAUGCUACCUCAUCAGCCUUGGCAUUAAUUAACCAAGAGUUACAGGAACAGAGACAGGCAAUCUUAGAUAAUAGAGCAGCAAUAGACUAUUUGUUGCUCCUCCACCACCAAGGUUGUGAAAGAGUAAAAAAUAUGUGUUGUUUCAAUCUUACCGAUAAUGGCCCAAAAGAUUGAAGAAAAGGUAAAACAAUUAGAAGAUCUGGCUAAAAAAAAUAUAUAAUGAGGAUGGCGGGGACUUGUUCAAAUGGUUAACUUCGUGGUUGCCCAACCUACAAUUCUUAAAACAACUUUGUCUUGUCAUCAUAGUUGUGUGUACAUGCUUAUUAUUGUCAUGUUGUUGUAUACAAUGGAUACCUACAUUUGUGCGUAAGAUUACUUAAGUUCCAAAAAUCAGUGGGGAAUGUGGGACUGCAUAACCUUUGUUCCUUUUCUCCAGCCCCAUUGUGAUUAAAUGUGAGUUAAUGGAUAAAGAUGCUUGUUAGUUUUGGGACACUAGAUAAAAAUCUGUAACAGAUAUAAAGUCCCAAAGUAAACUACUCAACUCCUUGUUUGCCCAGAACUGAUGUUCCGGGCACCACAAUUUUUAGAACAAGCUGCAAUUGUCUGCUGACCAUCAAUACAUGACAGUGGACCACUAACCUUUGUCCCCUUUUCUUUAAUUCUAUAUGUUAACUUCCCCCUCAACCCC